GGUAGAUAUUCUCCUAUACUAACUGAGAAGAUUUCAUGAUGUGGGCACUUGUACCAAAUUUAGGAUAAUACUGCCUGGGAAGAUCAUCAAAUGUGAAAGUCUAGGGAUGGGAGAACAUGGAGACAUCCUACUAAAUCAUACAAUGACUAAAGCUUGUGAUAGACAUUUAUCAAUCCACCAUGGGAUGCCUGCUGUGACAAGCUGUCUUCAGGAACAGAGGAUUUGCGAAGAUAAAGUUACACUGGGUUUGCUCUAUAAAAGGAAAGCCAAAUGAAAACUUCAGCACUAUGCUUUGGAGACCAUUUUAAACAGUAAAAUCACCAAGAAGCAUAAAAUUGCAAAUAAUGUGGCCCAAAUAAACGGCAAAGAAGAUAAUCAGAAGGAGAGCUGAAACAAGAAAACAGAACAUCAUCUUGUUUGACUUCCAUUGGGAACUUGCUCUAAAGGUAACUCAAAUUUUUUGAUAUCCUUACAUGUCUAUGAAUGACCUUGAAACAGCUUUGAUUAUUGAUUGUAGAGGUGCAAAUGCAUUUUA